rnacentral:rRNA from 1 species
GACAGAGGGGGCAAGCGUUGCUCGGAAUUACUGGGCGUAAAGGGCGCGUAGGCGGGAUGGCAAGUCGGUCGUGAAAUCCCUCGGCUCAACCGAGGAACGUCGAUCGAUACUGCUGUUCUUGAGGAUUGCAGAGGAGACUGGAAUUCCCGGUGUAGCGGUGAAAUGCGCAGAUAUCAGGAGGAACACCGGUGGCGAAGGCGGGUCUCUGGGCCGAUACUGACGCUGAGGAGCGAAAGCGUGGGGAGCGAACAGG